rnacentral:rRNA from 1 species
GACGAACGCUGGCGGCGUGCUUAACACAUGCAAGUCGAACGGAAAGGCCCUGCUUUUGUGGGGUGCUCGAGUGGCGAACGGGUGAGUAACACGUGAGUAACCUGCCCGUGACUUUGGGAUAACUUCAGGAAACUGGGGCUAAUACCGGAUAGGAGCUCCUGCUGCAUGGUGGGGGUUGGAAAGUUUCGGCGGUUGGGGAUGGACUCGCGGCUUAUCAGCUUGUUGGUGGGGUAGUGGCUUACCAAGGCUUUGACGGGUAGCCGGCCUGAGAGGGUGACCGGCCCCAUUGGGACUGAGAUACGGCCCAGACUCCUACGGGAGGCAGCAGUCGGGAAUAUUGCACAAUGGGCGGAAGCCUGAUGCAGCAACGCCGCGUGCGGGAUGACGGCCUUCGGGUUGUAAACCGCUUUCGCCUGUGACGAAGCGUGAGUGACGGUAAUGGGUAAAGAAGCACCGGCUAACUACGUG